AGUGAAUAGAUACCCGGGUAGUCCGCACAGUAAACGAUAAUCACUAGGUGUCGGUGGGAUAGACCUGUCGGUGCCGUAGCUAAACGCGAUAAGUGAUUCGCCUGGGGAGUACGAUCGCAAGGUUGAAACUCAAAGGAAUUGACGGGGGCCGCACAAGCGGUGGAGCAUGUGGUUUAAUUCGAUGCAACGCGAAGAACCUUACCUGGGCUUGACAUCUGCCAGAUUCUUCAGAGAUGAGGGGAGUUGCCCCUUCGGGGUAAGUGGCAAGACAGGUGCUGCAUGGCUGUCGUCCAGCUCGUGUCGUGAGAUGUUGGGUUAAGUCCCGCAACGAGCGCAACCCCUGCUUCCAGUUACCGUCAUAAGUUGGGGACUCUGGAAGGACCGCUGCAGUAA
rnacentral:rRNA from 1 species